GCAUUGAAACAUUGGUUCCCAUAUGAUCACCAAAGUUAAGCAAUGUUGAGCCUGGUCAGUACCUAAGUGGAUGACCACUUGGGAAUACCAGGUAUGGUAA